rnacentral:rRNA from 1 species
ACGAACGCUGGCGGCGUGCCUAAUACAUGCAAGUCGAGCGGAAUGAUGAAGAAGCUUGCUUCUUCUGAUUUUAGCGGCGGACGGGUGAGUAACACGUGGGCAACCUACCUGGUAGAUUGGGAUAACUCCGGGAAACCGGGGCUAAUACCGAAUAAUCCAUUUUGCUUCAUGGCGAGAUGUUGAAAGACGGUUUCGGCUGUCACUAUAAGAUGGGCCCGCGGCGCAUUAGCUAGUUGGUAGGGUAAUGGCCUACCAAGGCGACGAUGCGUAGCCGACCUGAGAGGGUGAUCGGCCACACUGGGACUGAGACACGGCCCAGACUCCUACGGGAGGCAGCAGUAGGGAAUCUUCCACAAUGGACGAAAGUCUGAUGGAGCAACGCCGCGUGAGUGAAGAAGGUUUUCGGAUCGUAAAACUCUGUUGUAAGGGAAGAACACGUACGAGAGUAACUGCUCGUACCUUGACGGUACCUUAUUAGAAAGCCACGGCUAACUACGUG